AUUAAUGGUCACAUAUAUGGAAAAUGGUGGCUGGCCAUGUGCUAUUUUAGAGUGGUGUGAACCCAAUUUUAUAAAAUUCAAAUCCCAUUUAAUUAAGAAGUCAAGUGGGCAAGUGGGUAGAAAAGCACUCAAGUGUUUUGUGAUAUUUUGAAGAGUUGUGUGAGCCAUUCUAACCCCCAAAUCCGACCACUCUCCCUCCCUCAUUCACUCUCAUCUGAUUUUUGAAGACUCUCUCAAGUGUUCUCUCCAUUUUCAACCCCAAGAACACCAAAGAAACUUGGAAGCUAAGUCUUGGUCUAGGAAUGGUUUUCCCUAAGUUGGUUAGGGUUUUUGAAAGGUUUUGAAGGAGUCAAAGCUUAUAGGAAGGUCCAAACCUUAAGCAAGAACACCAAAGAGGUAAGAGCAAGGGCAAGGCAGAGCAGUGAGCGCUGGAGUCUUCCUUGCAAAUGUACAUGUGGACCGACCUUUUGGGAAGCCGUUUUAUUUUUGGAAAUGUUGUGUAAUUUUCCUAAACUAGGCUCACUCUACUCUUUAUAAAAUAUGUUGAAACUAAAUGUUAAGUAUGGCCAUACGACUUUUUAAAAAGUUUUUUUUUAUACGGGUUUUUGAGACAUUUUGUUAAAUGAAAACAUUUAUAUUUCCGCAUUAUCGAGUCUUGAAAAUCUGGGUCGUUACACAAGGAGUCAAGUGAUCAAAGCUAGCGAAUCGAAAGGUAAAGGCAAAGGCAAGUUGGACCAAUCCUGAUAUGGAGAGCUGCGGGGUUGAAUGUACAUAGCCAGCUGUUCGAUCGCCAUGGUCGAGGAGUGGAUCAGGACAUGGAUUGCCUAACUGUCUGUUUUGCCUUAAUAUGGCUUGAUAUUGUACUUAAACCUUAUGACUUUUGUAAACGGUCUUUAAACUUAUUAUUUUUGGGAUCCCGUGUAAACAGAUAAUGUUUCUUAAUGAAAAAUGUGACUUUUGAGACCAAAA